CCCCGCCCCUGCUCGUUGGGAGCCCCGCCCCCGGAUCGGCCUCUUCUCCCAGAAUCUCACCAUGCCUCUAGUUAGUCCCUGAGGAAAUAGGAGCAGACUCCAGGUCACAUCACACACAGAGGAAGAUGUUAGCCACAUCUAUGGCUAUAACCCUUCAGCUUGGGUCACUGAAGACUGAGGAUCUAACUCACAAACGGAUACUCUAACGGUUUGAGACAAUUCAGCACUUCUCCCAAUCCUUGUGGCAAGAGGAUGCAUGGACUUCCACCGUUCUUCCUCAAGGAUUCAAAACGCUUCUGGAGAAGGGGCAGAUUUUGCUUCAACUUUCACGUCCGAUAGCAUCAAUCAUGCUAGUAGCUAAAUGGUGUCUGGGGAAAUUUAAUCUGCUGACCAGAGACUACCUUCUCUGACUUCAGCCAAGCGCUGCUCCAGAGCUCAGGAUGACCAGUGAUCUCUACCAUCACAUGCUUUGCCGUCUCCAGAAUGCUGAUUGAGAGAAGCAUACAAUAUGCUACGAGGAGCAGAUUGAAUCCUGAGUGAACGUGUGUUGUUGGCAGGAAUACAGCUAUGCCUCAGACCUUCAGAAAUGGCAAAACCCUCCUCUGGCUCAAGUACCAGUAUUGAGGAAAGAUUAACCUUUCUUCUGAAGAGCACCAGCCAACCCGCUGUGGACGAUCAGGCAAACAGGGCGUCAGGCCAGUGGCUUCAGGCGUGAGCUCAGUGAUCCAUCUUUACUCUCUUCCAGGAGACAGUCUUAACAGCAGAGUGAAGAGUGGGCCAAUCUGAAACCAAAUCA
rnacentral:lncRNA from 1 species